UACGUAGGGUGCAAGCGUUAAUCGGAAUUACUGGGCGUAAAGCGUGCGCAGGCGGUUUUGUAAGUCAGAUGUGAAAUCCCCGGGCUUAACCUGGGAACUGCGUUUGAAACUACAAGGCUAGAGUGUGGCAGAGGGGGGUGGAAUUCCACGUGUAGCAGUGAAAUGCGUAGAGAUGUGGAGGAACACCGACGGCGCAGGCAGCGUCCUGGCCGCUUGCUGACACUGAGGCACGAAAGCUGGGGGAGCAAACAGG
rnacentral:rRNA from 1 species